UACGUAGGUGGCAAGCGUUUGUCCGGAUUUAUUGGGCGUAAAGCGCGCGCAGGCGGUGCGGUAAGGCUGCCGUGAAAUCGCCCGGCUCAACUGGGCGGGUGCGGUGGCGACUGCCGGACUGGAGGGACUCAGAGGCCGGUGGAAUUCCCGGUGUAGUGGUGAAAUGCGUAGAGAUCGGGAGGAACACCAGUGGCGAAGGCGGCCGGCUGGGGGUGCCCUGACGCUGAGGCGCGAAAGCGUGGGGAGCGAACCGG
rnacentral:rRNA from 1 species